rnacentral:rRNA from 1 species
UGCGCAGGCGGCCAUGUGUGUCAGGUGUGAAAUACCGGGGCUUAACCCCGGAACUGCGCCUGAAACUACAUGGCUAGAGUACUGGAGAGGGUAGUGGAAUUCACGGUGUAGCAGUGAAAUGCGUAGAUAUCGUGAGGAACACCAGAGGCGAAGGCGACUACCUGGGGGACAGUUACUGACGCUCAGGCACGAAAGCGUGGGGAGCCAAAGGGAUUAGAUACCCCUGUAGUCCACGCCCUAAACGGUGCACACUAGGUCUUGGCGGAUUCGACCCCGCCAGGGCCCAAGCUAACGCGUUAAGUGUGCCGCCUGAGGACUACGGCCGCAAGGCUAAA